UACGUAGGUGGCAAGCGUUGUCCGGAAUUACUGGGCGUAAAGGGCGCGUAGGCGGUACCCUAAGUCAGAUGUGAAAACCCGGAGCUUAACUUCGGAACUGCAUUUGAAACUGGGGAACUCGAGUGUCGGAGAGGAAAGCGGAAUUCCUAGUGUAGCGGUGAAAUGCGUAGAUAUUAGGAGGAACACCAGUGGCGAAGGCGGCUUUCUGGACGAUAACUGACGCUGAGGCGCGAAAGCGUGGGGAGCAAAC
rnacentral:rRNA from 1 species